UGUAGGUGGUCUAAAGAAGACGCUGGUAUAGUUAGUUCGAUUUCAAAAAAAAAAAAAUUUGUGAAAAAAAUCGAUACGGGGGGGUAUACCCGAAAAACGAAAAAUCCCAAACUUUGGAGGUCGAUAUCUCGGCUUCUACCAGUCCGAUCUGGAAAAUUCCAACGGUUUUGUCUUAGUUUCGUCUUUCUGAAUCCAACAAGACCAUCCGCAAGGUCGUAGCUCUGAUAGUAGCUGAGAUAUCGCAUUUUUGGAGCCCAUUUUUGGCCUCAAAAACGAGGUCGAAAAAUGACUUUUUCCCAAUAUUUAAAGUGCUGUCAUUCAGUUAGUUCUGCUCGAAUCUCGUUAUAACCCGGUAUUUUCGUAAUGUAGGUGGUCUAAAGAAGACGCUGGUAUAGUUAGUUCGAUUUCAAAAAAAACAAAAUUUUGUGAAAAAAAUCGAUACGGGGGGGUAUACCCGAAAAACGAAAAAACCCAAACUUUGGAGGUCGGUAUCUCGGCUUCUACCAGUCCGAUCUGGAAAAUUCCAACGGUUUUGUCUUAGUUUCGUCUUUCUGAAUCCA
rnacentral:lncRNA from 1 species